UACGAGGGGGGCAAGCGUUGUUCGGAAUUAUUGGGCGUAAAGAGCUCGUAGGCGGCCUGUCGCGUCGGAUGUGAAAGCCCGGGGCUUAACCCCGGGUCUGCAUUCGAUACGGGCAGGCUAGAGUGUGGUAGGGGAGAUCGGAAUUCCCGGUGUAGCGGUGAAAUGCGCAGAUAUCGGGAGGAACACCGGUGGCGAAGGCGGUUCUCUGGGCCUGUACUGACGCUGAGGAGCGAAAGCGUGGGGAGCGAACAGG
rnacentral:rRNA from 1 species